rnacentral:lncRNA from 1 species
UGUAUGAAUUUAAAUGCUUAUUUGCUAACAUGAAUUAUAUGCCUCGAUAUUCCAUGAGUACAUGGUUGGUAUUAUGGAUAUCGUAAAUGACAUUACGAGUAAGUUCGACAGUGAUGCGACAAGUAAGGAAAUCCCGUUUGAAUGUAACACCCCUUACCCAAGUCCAAGGUCGGGACCGGGCACGUGACAUUACCUGACUUAAAUGCAUGCAUACAAUCAUUUCCGAGCUAUGAAAACUAGAUCAAUUUUAAAACUUUCCACUCUUAAUCUAGAAAUUCU